rfam:Pan troglodytes isolate Yerkes chimp pedigree #C0471 (Clint) chromosome 5, whole genome shotgun sequence.
AUCCCCUGGGGAUCUUGUUAAAAUUCAGACUUGAAUUCAGCCAUUGUUGGCCAGGGCCCAAAAUUCUGCAUUUCUAGCAAAUUCCCAGGUGAUGCCAA